rnacentral:rRNA from 1 species
AUUGAACGCUGGCGGAAUGCUUUACACAUGCAAGUCGAACAGCAGCACGGACUUCGGUCUGGUGGCGAGUGGCGAACGGGUGAGUAAUGUAUCGGAACGUGCCCAGUCGUGGGGGAUAACGUAGUGAAAAUUACGCUAAUACCGCAUACGAUCUAUGGAUGAAAGCGGGGGAUCGCAAGACCUCGCGCGAUUGGAGGCGCCGAUAUCAGAUUAGGAAGUUGGUGGGGUAAAGGCCCAGCAAGCCAACGAUCUGUAGCUGGUCUGAGAGGACGACCAGCCACACUGGAACUGAGACACGGUCCAGACUCCUACGGGAGGCAGCAGUGGGGAAUUGUGGACAAUGGGCGAAAGCCUGAUCCAGCCAUUCCGCGUGCAGGAUGAAGGCCCUCGGGUUGUAAACUGCUUUUGUACAGAACGAAAAGGUUUCUACGAAUAGUAGGAGCUCAUGACGGUACUGUAAGAAUAAGCACCGGCUAACUACGUGCCAGCCGCCGCAGUAA